UGGGGAAUUUUGGACAAUGGGCGAAAGCCUGAUCCAGCAAUGCCGCGUGUGUGAAGAAGGCCUUCGGGUUGUAAAGCACUUUUGUCCGGAAAGAAAUGGCUCUGGUUAAUACCUGGGGUCGAUGACGGUACCGGAAGAAUAAGGACCGGCUAACUACGUGCCAGCAGCCGCGGUAAUACGUAGGGUCCAAGCGUUAAUCGGAAUUACUGGGCGUAAAGCGUGCGCAGGCGGUUGUGCAAGACCGAUGUGAAAUCCCCGAGCUUAACUUGGGAAUUGCAUUGGUGACUGCACGGCUAGAGUGUGUCAGAGGGGGGUAGAAUUCCACGUGUAGCAGUGAAAUGCGUAGGGAUGUGGAGGAAUACCGAUGGCGAAGGGCAGCCCCCUGGGAUAACACUGACGCUCAUGCACGAAAGCGUGGGGGAGCAAACAGGGAUUAGAUACCCUGGUAGUCCACGCCCUAAACGAUGUCAACUAGUUGUUGGGGAUUCAUUUCCUUAGUAACGUAGCUAACGCGUGAAGUUGACCGCC
rnacentral:rRNA from 1 species